ACCAGCACCUCAAGUGGUCAGGAUGAUUAUUGGGCCUAAAGCGUCCGUAGCCGGCGCUAUAAGUUUUCGGUUAAAUCUGUACGCUCAACGUACAGGCUGCCGGGAAUACUGUAGCGCUAGGGAGUGGGAGAGGUAGACGGUACUCGGUAGGAAGGGGUAAAAUCCUUUGAUCUAUUGAUGACCACCUGUGGCGAAGGCGGUCUACCAGAACACGUCCGACGGUGAGGGAUGAAAGCUGGGGGAGCAAACCGGAUUAGAUACCCGGGUAGUCCCAGCUGUAAACUAUGCAAACUCAGUGAUGCAUUGGCUUGUGGCCAAUGCAGUGCUGCAGGGAAGCCGUUAAGUUUGCCGCCUGGGAAUACGUACGCAAGGUAUGGAAACUUAAAGGAAUUGGCGGGGGAGCACCACAAGGGGUGAAGCCUGCGGUUC
rnacentral:rRNA from 1 species